rnacentral:rRNA from 1 species
UACGUAGGGGGCAAGCGUUGUCCGGAUUUACUGGGCGUAAAGAGCGUGUAGGCGGCCAAGCAGGUCCGUUGUGAAAACUGGAGGCUUAACCUCCAGACGUCGACGGAAACCGCGUGGCUAGAGUCCGGAAGAGGAGAAUGGAAUUCCUGGUGUAGCGGUGAAAUGCGCAGAUAUCAGGAAGAACACCCGUGGCGAAGGCGGUUCUCUGGGACGGUACUGACGCUGAGACGCGAAAGCGUGGGGAGCGAACAGG